UACGGAGGGGGCUAGCGUUGUUCGGAAUUACUGGGCGUAAAGCGCGCGUAGGCGGACCUGCAAGUCGGGGGUGAAAGCCCGAGGCUCAACCUCGGAACUGCCUUCGAUACUGCGGGUCUCGAGUCCGGGAGAGGUGAGUGGAAUUCCUAGUGUAGAGGUGAAAUUCGUAGAUAUUCGCAAGAACACCAGUGGCGAAGGCGGCUCACUGGCCCGAUACUGACGCUGAGGAGCGAAAGCGUGGGGAGCAAACAGG
rnacentral:rRNA from 1 species